rnacentral:lncRNA from 1 species
UCUCUCUGUACCAAUUCACAUUUAUUUUACAUUUUAUUCAGUCUCUAAAUUAACUGGGCCUUUGCAGUAAUUUGUACAUAAAGUGCUAGAAAAUCAUGUUUCUUAUCUUGAGUAAGAGUUAUUCACAGUAAAUGCAUAUCUGGAGUUGUUUCUAUUGAUGUAAACUGUGAUCAUUAUUUAAGAGGUCAAUUCCUGACCAUAAAGUGCUUUUUAUACAGCUCUCUAAUAAUUGCAAAUACGAUCCUAAAGUCGUUUCUUGGAAUACAAAUGGAUGAAUUGCUUAUCAUGUAAAAUCAUCGUGGUCUAUGAGUUUACGAUUUUGCAGCCUGUGUUGUUUCAUCUAAUUCAUUUCUUAAU